rfam:Papio anubis isolate 1X1155 chromosome 2, whole genome shotgun sequence.
UAUUAUGUUGGUGCAAAAGUUAUUGCGGUUUUUGCCAUUGAGAGUAAUGGCAAGAACCGCAAUAACUUUUGCACCAACCUAAUA